GAUGAAGAACGUAGCGAAAUGCGAUAAGUAGUGUGAAUUGCAGAAUUCAGUGAAUCAUCGAAUCUUUGAACGCACAUUGCGCCCCUUGGUAUUCCAUGGGGCAUGCCUGUUCGAGCGUCAUUUGUACCUUCAAGCUUCGCUUGGUGUUGGGUGUUUGUCUCGCCUUUGCGUGUAGACUCGCCUUAAAAUAAUUGGCAGCCGGCGUAUUGAUUUCGGAGCGCAGUAUAUCUCGCGCUUUGCACUCAUAACGACAGCGUCCAAAAGUACAUUUUACACUCUUGACCUCGGAUCAGGUAGGGAUACCCGCUGAACUUAAGCAUAUCAAUAAGCGGAGGA
rnacentral:misc_RNA from 1 species